CCUACGGGGGGCAGCAGUAGGGAAUCUUCCACAAUGGGCGAAAGCCUGAUGGAGCAACGCCGCGUGGGUGAAGAAGGUCUUCGGAUCGUAAAACUCUUUUGUCAGGGAACAAAGGCGGGGACGCGUCCCCGGAUGAGUGUACCUGAAGAAAAAGCAUCGGCUAACUCCGUGCCAGCAGCCGCGGUAAUACGGAGGAUGCGAGCGUUAUCCGGAUUUAUUGGGUUUAAAGGGUGCGCAGGCGGUCUGUUAAGUCAGCGGUCAAAGCCCGGGGCUCAACCCCGGCCCGC
rnacentral:rRNA from 1 species